GACGAACGCUGGCGGCGUGCUUAACACAUGCAAGUCGAGCGGAAAGGCCCUUCGGGGUACUCGAGCGGCGAACGGGUGAGUAACACGUGAGUAACCUGCCCCAGACUUUGGGAUAACCCUCGGAAACGGGGGCUAAUACCGGAUACGACACAGCUUCGCAUGGGGUCUGUGUGGAAAGUUUUUCGGUUUGGGAUGGGCUCGCGGCCUAUCAGCUUGUUGGUGGGGUGAUGGCCUACCAAGGCGACGACGGGUAGCCGGCCUGAGAGGGCGACCGGCCACACUGGGACUGAGACACGGCCCAGACUCCUACGGGAGGCAGCAGUGGGGAAUAUUGCACAAUGGGCGGAAGCCUGAUGCAGCGACGCCGCGUGAGGGAUGACGGCCUUCGGGUUGAAAACCUCUUUCAGCAGGGACGAAGCGUAAGUGACGGUACCUGCAGAAGAAGCGCCGGCCAACUACGUG
rnacentral:rRNA from 1 species